rfam:Schistosoma mansoni, Puerto Rico, WGS project CABG01000000 data, contig: 0207
AUCCAGUUUACAAGUCCGAAACAGAACGAAACACGCGUCCUGGAU